CAUUUUAAAAAGGAUCGAGGAAUGUCUAGCUGACCUCAAGGCUCUGGAGGGCUGAUGGAUUUCAAUAAGGAAUCAGAUAAGUAGGGAUCAGUAACUGGUUACAGUGAACAAGGGUGGUGGUUUCUGCGCAUGUCACAUGUAACACUGUCUGAAGGCCUCUUUUUUUUUCAAAUUAAUUUAAAUCUUUUUUUUUUCCCAUUGGAAGCAUGUCUGAAGGCCUCUUUUUUUUUCCAAAUUAUUUUAAAUCUUUUUUUUUUCCAUUGGAAGCAUGACUAAAACAACAUGACCCAAGAGAGUGUCUACUGAG